UACGGAGGGUGCAAGCGUUAUCCGGAUUUACUGGGUUUAAAGGGUGCGUAGGUGGGUAAGUAAGUCAGUGGUGAAAUCUUCGAGCUUAACUCGGAAACUGCCAUUGAUACUAUUUAUCUUGAAUACUUUGGAGGUAAGCGGAAUAUGUCAUGUAGCGGUGAAAUGCUUAGAUAUGACAUAGAACACCAAUUGCGAAGGCAGCUUACUACACAGUUAUUGACGCUGAGGCACGAAAGCGUGGGGAUCAAACAGG
rnacentral:rRNA from 1 species